GCACUUGGGCGGCACCACGGAGUUCGGGGAUAACGUGGAGGAUGAGUGGUUCAUUGUGUACCUGCUGCGGGAGAUCACCAGGGAGUUCCCGAGGCUGGCAGCCAGUAUUGAUGACAACGAUGGAGAGUUUCUCUUGAUAGAAGCAGCUGAUUUUCUCCCAAAGUGGCUGAAUCCUGAAAACAGUGAAAACAGGGUGUUCUUUUACAAAGGAGAGCUGCACAUCAUUGCGCCGGGGGAGCCUUGGCAGCAGGGCUGGGCCCUCUCUGCUCCCCGUGCCA